AAUAAAACCCUAUCCCUAAUUGAUUGAACAUUUUUAUUUAAUAAUUAAUAUUAUCAAAUCCGAAUUUUGAUCGAUGAAGACCUAAUAAUUGGGUGUUUGUUUGUUUGCCAUGUAUGUGAAGAUUCUGCAUUUUCCUUUGAUGCAUAUUGUUUAGGUUCGAAUGGACAAGCGGAUCAUUGAGGUAGUUAAUAUGAUUGCUGCUGAGAGAUAAAAAUUUCCCGACCGGCGUUUACUGCAAUACCUGAAGUCUUAGAAUCUGCUGUUACUUCUUAUGGUGAACAAAAUCUCAGCGUCGCUAUUAUAGUUUUAAUGGCUAUACGUUCUCUGUGGGAGUAGUAAGUUUACCCUCUUCUCCUUACGAUUUGUUUCCCUGUAUUUGAUUAAUCCCUUCGAGUGUCUGUGCAUGUUUCCAACAUUACACCAUAACUGACUGAAGAUCAAAGUCCUCAAAAUUGUAUUGCUUCCUCUCUUUUACAUUCGCAAGUUCUAUGUGUUUACAUCACUAAAGCAAUAGCUGUCUGCAAAGGAAAAUGUUACUUUUAGCCCAUUCUACCGCAUGAAGAUUGAGACAGGAGGGCCUUAAUUCUUGUCUGAUCAUCUUCGUCGUCGUGCUUGGUGCUUCAUUUUGCAUGGAAAUAUGUCUCAUGUUGAGCUGUAUCUUGCCUUAAAUAUAUAUGAUUGUUGUCUUGUAUAUAUAUCCUUAUAAGCAUCUAUUAUGGAUUCUAAUGUUGGGAUUCUCUUUUGGUCCUUCCUAUUGUUUACUCAUUUUUCUCUUUCGAUUUAAUUUUGGCAUUACUCUUGAUUUACUUUCGGUUUAAUUUUGAUAUUUUUUCGAUUUACUUUGAGAUUUAGGAAUAAUUUCAGUUUAUCCACCGUGGUAUUAGUGACAUGGAUCUGCCGAGACAGCCCAGCUCCAAAUGGCGAAAUCUCCAGUUUGCUGUUCGCUGUUUGCAGUGAAUCUCCGGAUUGCUGUUAGUUGUUUUAUUUUUCAUGCUUUAAUGCUUCUGCAGUUUGCUGUUCGGAGUGAAUUUCCCCUUAAGUUUAUAUGUAAAUCUUUGGACUGGAAUAUCAAAUGUUGUUUUCUGCAGUACUUUGUCGCUAUUCUUAUGACUUAUUCAGACAGUUAUUAUCUAAACCUGAUUAUUCUUAUA